CCGCCCACCUCUCCUCACCCGCCUAUUGCAAGAACUCUAAGGAGAUGAGUGUGGCCGGCCUUUUCACUUUAUUGAAGUUGAACUCUAGGGGCCCGGAUUCUCUGGAUCACCUUCUCAUCUCACCCUCCGUCUAACUCUGGAAAUACUGGAUAUGGGGCCAGGAGGCAGGCCAACAAGAAGAGGCCACCCAAGGUGAGAAAGAAAUAAGCAACAGGGGCGAUGUCCGGCCGUAUCCCCAGCAAAGCCAGCCCCAGGAAGAAGGAGGCGCAGCACAGGAAGAGAAGCGGCUUCUCCAGUCGCCCCCACAACUGGCUUGGCACCAUGGCCCCUCCCCAGGCUCCUGCAAAAAGACACACAGCUUUUGUGUCUAAACUAGCAAUUGGCAUUGCGACUGGGUCAGAUUUCAAAAUAACCAUAUUAGACACCCUUGUUUGGGUUUCAGGUUCUUCUGUCUCAAAUCAAAUAAAUGCCCCCAAAUAAAUGAUCUGCAGGGUCCCCUCCAGCUCUCGAAUUCUCUCUAGGAUCACACUGUUGUCCCAGGGUAUCAAUAUGUGUGGAAUAGCCAGGAAACCAGCCCAGGAGUUCUGACUCCCAGCCCUCAAGCGAGUUUACUAUGUUAAGGCCCCGAGUUCCUUCCUUUUUCCUUCUUCCCUGUGAUCUGUAUCUUCCAGCUCCAUUAUUUCUUUCCCUUCCAAGACCCAGUCUUGGGCAGGCCCUGGGGCCUCAGUGCUCACCGGCAUGUCUGGAAUCCAGGUGGUGAUGCAGGCCUUGCCCUUUGUUACUGCUUGCAGUGACCCUCCGCCUCCCCCAUCCCCCCACCUUCCCAGUCGGAGGCCCUCAGUCUGACCCUGAAGAGCAGAGAGCACCGCUUACCCUGCCUGACCCUGGCUUCCUGCUUUCUCCAGCCAGAGGGAGAAAGUGCACGUAGACACCACAAAGCCACAGGGACACGACUACCUGAGAAUCUUACAGACAAAGCUCUAGGGCAAUGGACAGAAGCCCAGAGAAUCCUUGACCUUUCUUCACCCCAUAUCAAUCCAGGGCCCUCACCUUCUACCAGGCCUAACUCCGUAAACUCAGAUUUUAAGUUUCUGCCUGGAGUUAUUACCACAGGGCCUGGGAGGUUGGUGGGGAGAAUCCUCUUCUUUUCUCGGUGGGGAGAAGCCUCUUCUUUUCUCGGCAGGGCAGCAGCCACGCCUGGGCAGCCCCUACCCUCAAGCCAGCCUGUCAGGAGUUCCCUGAUUCUACAAAGGGGCCAGAUCCCCUCCUUACACCCCAGCCCCAGUGCCAUGACCAGCCUGCCCUUCUUACCGCGCUCGGAGUUCCUCCCUCACCUGUGCACGGGGCUCCGGAGAAAGCAGGUUGUGGGGAGUGGGAGGAGGGCAGGGGGUGGAGCCCACCGGUUCCGCCCACUUUUCUGUCCCAACCCCUGCGUUCCUGCCCAGGCUUCCUCCUCCUCUUUUUUGCUUAAGGCUGAACUCCUACUACUGCCCCACCUUGAUUUGUCUGGCUCCUUGAUUUACUCCGCCACCACCUACAGAGCCUUCGAGAGAGCCCUCCUCAAUCUCAGCCCCAAAGAUCUUUGUACUUUGGACCAGAAUUAAAUUUGCUUUUCCUUCUC